UACCUGAAAACAUUGUUGGAAUUUCUGGAAACAAUGUGCUCCUCCCUUGUGUUGUCAGUGCACCAAAGCCACUAGAUGUGCAAACUGUCAGUUUUGCAUGGAAAAAGAUGCCAAAUAUUAACGUGGUUAGGUUCUCAUCUGGGAAAAACAACAUUGUCCAUGAAUAUCCAGACCGUUAUUUGUUAAACAAUGAACAAAUAGCUAAAGGAAAUUUUUCACUGGCGUUGUUAAAUAUUCAAAAACAGACGAAGGGAAUUAUAUGUGCUACCUGCCUCCAGGUCAACUAGCACAGGAUGUCAAGCUCACUGUUAAAGAACCUGAAGCUGUAGUCACUGAAAAAAGCAAGAGUUUAGGAAAAGAACCUGGAAACACUGCUGUGAAUUUAAUUCCACAGAAAUAUGUUGCAUUCCUCAUUUCUUCAUCAUUUCUACUCUAUCUUGUGGGAUGAGUUUUAGAUAUCAGAAGAUAAAGAAGACAAUCUAGUUAAAUCAUAUAAUUUAAAACUUCUACAAUUUCUGCCUGAUUAAAUUAGAUUUGUAUACUUGGUAGAUUCAAUUUGAGGGGAAAUGUUAUUUUUUUAAUACAAAAUAUGAUUAGCAGUAAAAAAAACAAGAUUCUCUGUCAGGGUGGCACAAUUAAAGCACACACAACCAUACUUCAAGGGAUAAAAAGCAAAAAAGUGGCAAAUGCAUUCACAGUCAAGGUAUUACUGCUUUUUAUGCUGUGUAGUCACAAUGGAUGCAAAAACAUCUUCCCAGUGGUCCAGUUGGCGAUUUACUCAGACAAUCGCUGCUUAUAAAAGAGUAAGGAUUUAAAAAUAUUAGACUGUAUUAGCUUUACAUUCUGAGUCUCGUGAUGACAUGCCCACUGCUUGGUUCCGAAAAGCUUGCAGAUGCUUGCUCUGGAAAAUGCAUAUACUGAAAGGUAGCACCAAACUGUGGAAUUUGUGGGACGGGACUUUAGGUGAUCUUCCAGUGAUUAACAAUUCUGUAGGAGCUUGACAUUGACAUUUUCAGAAAACAGUAAAUUUAUAUCAACCCUACAAAUCCAGAACUGCCUGGCUUAAUAGCUGCUUGUAGUAGUAAAUACCUGCGUAUGGUCAGGUUAUGCUUUUAGACUUUUUAUACAUAAUGCAGUUUUAUACAUUCCACUUUACAGUUAGCCCUUAAUUUAUGAUUUUUUGUUGUCUCUCCAUUUGUGUGUAGUGUUUCCCCUUGUGUUACAGUGCCUUGUGUAAGUAAGUAUUCAUUCCCCUAGGUGUUUGUCCUGUUUUGUUGCAUUAUAAUCUGAAAUUAAAAUAGAUUUCAUUAGGAUUUUACUUGCUUCGCUGAGGCAGGCGCUGUGCGCCAGCCACUUUGUGUCUCUGCCACUCGCGUAUGUGGAUUUCACUUUCAGCAAACAACAAAUCUUUUAAUUCUCACCUCUUCAUUGGGAAGAAACACUACUUUUCCCUGAUGGCAACACGAAUUAGAUGAUCUACAAGUCUCUGACUUAAAGUUUAAACCCGAACAAUAUCUAUCUACUUUUGUCAUAUCACCUACUGUAUAUACUCGCGGAUAAGUUCUCCCACUGAUAAGUCAGGACUUGAUUUUACCGUAUAA